GCUGACGAGUGGCGGACGGGUGAGUAAUGUCUGGGAAACUGCCUGAUGGAGGGGGAUAACUACUGGAAACGGUAGCUAAUACCGCAUAACGUCGCAAGACCAAAGAGGGGGACCUUCGGGCCUCUUGCCAUCGGAUGUGCCCAGAUGGGAUUAGCUAGUAGGUGGGGUAACGGCUCACCUAGGCGACGAUCCCUAGCUGGUCUGAGAGGAUGACCAGCCACACUGGAACUGAGACACGGUCCAGACUCCUACGGGAGGCAGCAGUGGGGAAUAUUGCACAAUGGGCGCAAGCCUGAUGCAGCCAUGCCGCGUGUAUGAAGAAGGCCUUCGGGUUGUAAAGUACUUUCA
rnacentral:rRNA from 1 species